GCCAAUCAAACUCGGAAAUAGCUCGUUCUCCCCGAAAUGCUUUUAGGAGCAGCGUUAUGUUAUAGAGUAGUAGAGGUAGAGCUACUGGUUGGAUGCGGGGGCUUCAUCGCCUACCAAAUCCUGUCAAACUCCGAAUGCUACUACUUGUUUCAUAGCAGUGAGGGCAUGGGUGCUAAGGUCCAUGUCCGAGAGGGAAAGAACCCAGACCAUCUGCUAAGGUCCCCAAAUGUAUACUAAGUUGAUCAAACGUGGUCAGACUGCUUAGACAGCUAGGAUGUUGGCUUGGAAGCAGCCAUUCAUUUAAAGAGUGCGUAACAGCUCACUAGUCGAGCGGUCCGGCGUGGAUAAUAAUCGGGCAUAAGUAUACUACCGAAGCAAUGGACAUGAAAAUGUGGUAGGGGAGCAUUCUAGUUGCGCCGAAGGUGAAUCGUGAGGUUUGCUGGAGCGGCUAGAAAAGAAAAUGUAGGAAUGAGUAACGAUAAAGCGGGUGAGAAACCCGCUCGCCGAAAAUCUAAGGUUUCCUCAGCUAUGCUAAUCAGCUGAGGGUUAGUCGCGACCUAAGGCGAACCCGAACGGGGUAGUCGAUGGACAACAGGUUAAUAUUCCUGUACUUGUUUAUACUGCGAUGGGGUGACGAUGUACUGAAAGCACCGCGCACUGACGGAAUAGUGCGUUGAAGACUGUAUCUAUAGGACCUGUAGGCAAAUCCGCAGGACCUGGAGAAGGUCGAUAGUACCGAGAGUCUUCGGACAAUCGGAUAGUGUGCCUAAAAACAUCCAAGAAAAACCUCUAAGCUUCAGGUAUAAACAACGCGUACCGUAAACCGACACAGGUAGAUGGGAUGAGAAUUCUAAGGCGCUCGAGUGAUUCAUGGCUAAGGAACUAGGCAAAAUAGUCCCGUAACUUCGGGAGAAGGGACGCCCCCUUAUGGGGGGCCGCAGUGAAAAGGCCCAGGCGACUGUUUAUCAAAAACACAGGACUCUGCUAAAUCGAAAGAUGAUGUAUAGGGUCUGACACCUGCCCGGUGCUGGAAGGUUAAGAGGAGAUGUUAGCUUCGGCGAAGCAUUGAAUUGAAGCCCCAGUAAACGGCGGCCGUAACUAUAACGGUCCUAAGGUAGCGAAAUUCCUUGUCGGGUAAGUUCCGACCUGCACGAAUGGUGUAACGAUCUGGGCACUGUCUCAGCCAUGAGCUCGGUGAAAUUGUAGUAUCGGUGAAGAUGCCGAUUACCCGCAGCGGGACGAAAAGACCCCGUGAACCUUCACUACAACUUUGUAUUGACAUUGGACAAGAGAUGUGUAGGAUAGGUGGGAGACUUUGAAGCGUUGUCGCUAGGCAGCGUGGAGUCAACCUUGAAAUACCACCCUUCGCUUGUUUGAUGCCUAACCCCGCAAGGGGGACAGUGCAUGGUGGGUAGUUUGACUGGGGUGGUCGCCUCCAAAAGAGUAACGGAGGCUUUCAAAGGUAUCCUCAGUACGCUUGGUAACCGUACGUAGAGUGCAAUGGCACAAGGAUGCUUGACUGUGAGACUAACAAGUCGAGCAGGUACGAAAGUAGGACAUAGUGAUCCGGUGGUUCCGCAUGGAAGGGCCAUCGCUCAAAGGAUAAAAGGUACUCCGGGGAUAACAGGCUGAUCUCCCCCAAGAGCUCACAUCGACGGGGGGGUUUGGCACCUCGAUGUCGGCUCGUCACAUCCUGGGGCUGGAGAAGGUCCCAAGGGUUGGGCUGUUCGCCCAUUAAAGUGGCACGCGAGCUGGGUUCAGAACGUCGCGAGACAGUUCGGUCUCUAUCUGCUGUGGGCGUUGGAAAUUUGAGAGGAGCUGACUUUAGUACGAGAGGACCGAGUUGGACAGCCCUCUAGUGUACCUGUUGUUUCGCCAGAAGCAUUGCAGGGUAGCUACGGCUGGUUGGGAUAAGCACUGAAAGCAUAUAAGUGCGAAGCCCACCUCAAGAUGAGAUUUCCCUUAAGGGUCGUUCGAGAUGAGGACGUUGAUAGGCUUCAGGUGUAAAGGCAGUAAUGUCAUAGCCGAGAAGUACUAAUUACCCGUGGCUUUCUAAGA
rnacentral:rRNA from 1 species